GAAAUUCAAAAAAGAGCCUGCUAUUUCCAACGUCAGCACUUCCUGGGAAGGAAAACGAAAAGCCCUGCUUAAUCCCCAAACAAGUAUGGUCACUCUGUAACCAUUGAAACUGAAAAUUCAAGCUCCUCAAAAAUGGCUGCUUCAUCCUCUCCAAUUCUCUCUCCGUUACAUUACAACUGCAACACUAUCAACGACAACAAGAAAAAGCUCUUUUUAUUAGCAAAUCCUCUUCUCUUCAGCAUCUCAUCCAAACCCAUCAAGACAAAUGAAGGCUCCUCCAUCAUCCUCUUCUCUUACAAAUCAGGAAGUGGUUUGACAGCUAAAGACAAGAAAGUUUUGGUCGAAAGAUAUGGUUUUGAUCCCAAUGAGGACAUAUCUGAGCCAAAGACUAAGAGGAUAAAGGAAGUGCUAGGGCAAGGGAAAGGGAAAGGAAAGAAAGUAGUGACAGAGGAGGAAGCUAAGCCCCCAAGAACCACUCAUAAGUUGCUUCAGGUGCUUGGAGGAAAGGCUAAAAGAAUGAAGUUGCUCUCACCCAAAGGCAUGGAUGUGAGACCCAUGAUGGAAGUCGUAAAAGGUGCUGCCUUCGAUAUAUUGCAGGUGGCUGGUGGCUGCCCUGCCUCUUUACGACCUGGUCGCUGGUUAGACCUCUACAGUGGUACAGGAUCUGUUGGAAUUGAAGCUAUCAGCCGUGGAUGUUCUGAGGUGCAUUUUGUUGAGGUGGAUCCUUGGGUUAUUUCAAAUGUUCUGCGACCAAACCUGGAAUGGACUAGGUUUCUUGAUGUCUCAGUUAUACAUCCUGUUCGUGUUGAAAAUUUCUUAGAACAAGCAGACCGAUUUGUAGGUAGUGAUGGACCAUUUGAUUACAUCAGUGUAACACCUCCAUAUAUCCAAGUUGAUUAUGGAACCCUAAUGGCUCAAAUUUCCAAGUCAGCUAUUAUUGGAGAAGACACUUUUAUUGUAGUGGAAUAUCCUUUGAGAACAAACAUGCUGGAUUCAUGUGGAUGCCUUGUAAAGAUAAAGGAUCGAAGAUUUGGUCGGACACAUUUAGCAAUAUAUGGACCCAAGUGGGCCCAGAAGAAAAGAGAGUCACAGAAUACCUUUCACAAUACAGCUCAGAAAUUUUAACUGCAAGUUUACUAUUUGAAGGUGGAUACUGUCUGAAUUAUCUCUAAGUUGCAAUCUUCAAUUGUCUUGACACCAGAUAUAUUGAGGGUACAUGGAUCAUAUGUAUUUUGCACAUAGCCUUCUAGUCACCUUGUAAUUCCUGUUAGGGCUGGCAUGGUUCCUCAUUGGAGUUUUUCAUUAAAAGGCAGAUCCAAAGCAUCUCAACUAACCCUACCUGCUGCACUUUUUCAAUGCUGUGGAGCUUGGUUAAAGCACAUUUUUUGAACCUAGAAUCUGGCGGUCUCUCCAGCAUAGAAUCAGGACUGGGGCCAUUGAGAUGCCCAUUCUAGCAUCCCUUCCUCAUGUCAGAUAGAAGAUACAGUGUCCAAAAGCAUGGUUCCCAUAAAGAGAAGGGGUUUUUGUUUCAACAGGGGAAGGUGGUCCAAUUCAAUUGAUACUUUGAGUUUUAUAGGGGAAAGCUUGUCUCUUGUUUCUUUACUUUUUCUUUUUUUGAUUUGUUUUUGUUUUAUCUUUUGUAAAGGAAGUUGAUUAUGGGAAGGCAGCACAUAAAGAGACUUGGCAAAAUAAUUGACAUUGGGACAUAUGUAAUCUGUUUAAAACCUCACUGGUACUUGUUAUCCAACCAUGGUUUUCCAUUUUUGAGUAAUAUUUCUUUUCGAAUA